rnacentral:rRNA from 1 species
GACGAACGCUGGCGGCGUGCCUAAUACAUGCAAGUCGAGCGAAUGGAUUAAGAGCUUGCUCUUAUGAAGUUAGCGGCGGACGGGUGAGUAACACGUGGGUAACCUGCCCAUAAGACUGGGAUAACUCCGGGAAACCGGGGCUAAUACCGGAUAACAUUUUGAACCGCAUGGUUCGAAAUUGAAAGGCGGCUUCGGCUGUCACUUAUGGAUGGACCCGCGUCGCAUUAGCUAGUUGGUGAGGUAACGGCUCACCAAGGCAACGAUGCGUAGCCGACGUGAGAGGGUGGUCGGCCACACUGGGACUGGGCAACGGCCCAGACUCCUACGGGAGGCAGCAGUAGGGAAUCUUCCGCAAUGGACGAAAGUCUGACGGAGCAACUCCGCGUGAGUGAUGAAGGCUUUCGGGUCGUAAAACUCUGUUGUUAGGGAAGAACAAGUGCUAGUUGAAUAAGCUGACACCUUGACGGUACCUAACCAGAAAGCCACGGCUAACUACGUGCCAGCCGCCGCUGUAA